GAACGCACCUUGCACCCUUUGGUAUUCCAAUGGGUACACCCGUUUGAGUGUCUUUGUAUUAUCACACUUUCAGUGUCUUAUCGAGACUAAAGUUGUGGAUGUGGACAGUAGUAGUGAUUUUGUCAUUGCUCGUCUGAAAAGAUUUGGUGCAUCGCCGUGUCGACAAAUGAGAUACUUGAUGUGAUAAAUGUCUUGUCAUCAUUGUGUCUUUUAGAGUCACUUGGUUUUUAUGCGCUGUCAAAUCGUCUAUUGGAUAUGGACAAAUAUAUUGACAAUUUGACCUCAAAUCGGGUGGGAUUACCCGCUGAACUUAAG
rnacentral:misc_RNA from 1 species